GCUGGAAAAAAGAGAAAGAAGCUAUUAUUUUGACCGUUCUACAUGUACUCCUUUUGUGUGAGUCAUUAUGAUUUCAAGAGAUCUCAUGUCUAUGUAUUUGUAUAUUUUCUUUUGUCGGCAUUCAUGCACAAGAAAAGGAGGAAAGAAGGAAUUGAAUGGAAGUAACAUUUCUUAGUACCGCAGAUGCUUAUGGGAGGAAGUGGGUCAUUCUCAGCUGGAAAGGGAAUGCACUCAAGGCUUUAUCUUCGUGUCUUGAAUGAAUACCAGCAGAUUCAAUGUUUUUCUGCAUUCAACAGUCUCUUCAACAAUACAGGGUUAUUUGGCUUAUAUGCAACCACAUUAAGAGUUCUGAUUAUGUGGAAAAAGAUGUGGAACUAGCAGUCAGAGAAUUAAUAGCACUCGCAUCACAAGGACAAGUUUCACAGAUACAGCUUGACUGUGCCAAGGAAUCCACGAAGUCUGCACUCUCUACUUGAACUGGUAGUUUGAAUGAUGUGGAAUUUCUUUCAUUUAAUCCUCCUGCCCCACUGGAAUUAAGAAUACUGUGACUCUUGCAUCAUUGCUUCCUUCUCUAUUAUCUAUCAUGGAUUUCUCUACACGCUUUGUCACAAAUAGAAAGGAGAAUUGUGUUGCUUUUACUUGUCAUUUGCCCAAGACUAACUGUUUUUGCAGAUAAUUGCAUCAGAGGAUAUAGGAAGGCAGAUAUUAACUUACGGGGAAAGGUAAAAAAAUUCAAUCAGAAGCCUAUUAUUUUAUUUAUUUAUCAACAUUUUUUUUCCAUUUAUUUAAAUCCUCCAGCUGCUGCUACUUUAAACUGAGAAGUAUCACUUAAAUCAUGGGCAUAAUUUGUAAUGAGAAUUUGUGUGAUUACCUUUUCUUCAGAAAGCCACUAGAGCAGUUCUUAAAGGAAGUAGAGCAAUCACUUUCAAACCUACAAUGUAUUAUUAUUGUGUAUGGUGUGUACCUUAAUUUCUAUUAAUGUUGUGUUAUGAUGAAUUUGAUUGUGUUAUAAAAAUGUUUUGAAGUUAAUUGUUGGCAUGCUUUGUUAUCAAUUCCCACCCUCUAUCACAACUGUAAUACCAACAUGAACUCCAUAGCAUUGGAGUUGUGGCUAAAAUUAAAUUGUUUUGUCCACACGUGACCUACCAAUACAUGACUGACUAUUUCAGGUGAAGUUUCUGUACAAAACAUGAUUUUCUCUCGCGUAAUCGUUUACCAGGACUGUGUAAACGAUUACAGCAGGGUUUUUUGACCAGUCUGAUUCAUCCCUUCCACAACUUGGUCCCCCACUCAAAAUGGGUCAUUCCCAACUCCUUGGGGUCACAUGAUAUCACCA
rnacentral:sRNA from 1 species